rnacentral:rRNA from 1 species
UAAUACGGGGGGUGCAAGCGUUGUUCGGAAUUAUUGGGCGUAAAGAGCGUGUAGGCGGCCAGGUAAGUCGGAUGUGAAAGCCCCGGGCUCAACCCGGGAAGUGCAUUCGAAACUGCUUGGCUAGAGUAAGAGAGAGGAAAGUGGAAUUCCUGGUGUAGAGGUGAAAUUCGUAGAUAUCAGGAGGAACACCGGUGGCGAAGGCGGCUUUCUGGCUCUAUACUGACGCUGAGACGCGAAAGCGUGGGUAGCAAACAGGAUUAGAUACCCUGGUAGUCCACGCCGUAAACGAUGUUCACUAGGUGUUGGGGGUAUUGACCCCCUCAGUGCCGUAGCUAACGCAUUAAGUGAACCGCCUGGGGAGUACGGUCGCAAGACUA